AUGCGAUCCAUUUAACAGUUACAGAAUCACCGAGACAUAGAAAAUACAUCAUUAAUCAUUCUCUACAUUUUUUUUUUCUUUCUUUUCCUUUCCACUACUUUUGCUUCCCACUUAUUUACACCACUACAUUUUGUCAAGCACUUCAUUUUGUCACCAUUACAUUUUGUCAAACCACCACAACAACUUCUCCACUUAACCUACAUCAGCUCACGCAAACCAAAUUCACUUCUUUAAUAAUUCAGUAGCAAACUUCCUUCAUAUCACCCAUUCUACACUAAAAACUUCACCAAAAGAAAAGAAAGAUUUCAUUUAC
rnacentral:lncRNA from 1 species